UCUGAAUCAGUCAGUCACUGUCCGGGUCACUGACAGAAACAGCUGGUUCAUCACUCACUCUGCCUUUUGCUGUUUUACAGUUUAGUUUAGACUGAUUCACUGUUGUCUCUGGAACACAGUUCACCCUCCGACCAAGUAUUGUUUCUCCAGACUGAAGACAGCUGACUUCAUUUCUCUGGGGACAACCUGUGUGUCCCACACCACGAACCUUUGGCUCACAGCAGCAUCGACAGGAAACUGCAGACACGGGAAUCUGAGUGAACAAUCCACCCUUGCUGCUCACCAAUCAGCUGUUUCCACUGACACACAUCACUUCCUGAAUGGUGACAUCAUCUCCAGCUCUUCCAAUGGUCUCGACAAGAUGCUGCCUGAGCUGCUGACUAUUUCAAGGAUUCUCUGACCUUAUCCAGGACACCAUCAGUACGAUCUCUGUUCCACUCCCUCCAAAGAAAGUGCAUCAUUCAAAAGGUAAAGGCAACAAGUUUGUACACAAUUCCUCGGUGUGCUCCCAACGAGAUUGGGUACGAUUGUAGUCACCAAUUUGCAGGUUCCCAUGGUGACUGAGCAGAGUAAACAUACUGCCAGGGCAACAAGGCCUCACAGAGACUCACCAGCCAGAGACACAGAAACAACCAGCACAGUGAUCCGGGGACAGGAACUCGGGUGCUCGAGAGCAAGUUCCAGCACAAAGAAAUAUCUCAGACAGGAAUCCGGGAAAUAUAACAGAUCCAAGAAAUAGAACCCAGGUCGGGUGAAAAAUCCCACCACUUAAAAACACCAGUGUAUCUGAGAAACUCGGGGAAAACAAAGCCCCUUUAAGAAACAGGAACACAGAACACAGGAGUACGUUCAGACUCUCAGAGCAAAUGGCGAAGGUUUCACCGGCUGGAAAUUAUGAAUCUGAUAAUCUUAGCACCCCACAAAUUGUAAAGGAUUUGAGGUUACAGAUUUAUUAUCCACACAAGCUAUCACUGAUGUCUGUGCUGGAAGUAUUUCAGGAUCAAGCAGAGAAUAACAAACUAACCCGACCAGGAAAUCUUCCUUGGAGAUUUCUCCUCAGGAUUCUCUCAGGCAAUUCACUGACAGGGAGUAGUGAAUGGCCACCUGCUCAGUACCCAGACGGCGAGGGUGAUGGUGAUGAAGAAUUCAGUGAUUUCUUUGAAGUUACAGCACCAGGGGAUGGUGGGAUAAAUCCUCUGGAUAUCAUUGCUGCCAUUUUCCUCUGUGCUGACCACUCUCUCCAGCAGGAACUGAUGCUGAAGAUGUCUCUGUGCCAGUUUGCAUUACCCUUUCUGAUGCCAGACACUCACAGUCACCCCAUGGACAAGGUGAGGGGACCCACAGAAGGGCCUGGUGCCACCCUUCUCCUCUGGGCCAUGAGGCCCAUUGUUAAAACAUGGUGCCCACAUUCUCCUACAGACAGCAGCCCCGUUGUGGAGGUGCCCAUCGUGACAGCAGCCAUGCCAACGGUGUCCUUCCUCAGACUGGGAAGGUGCACAGUGUCCAAAUCCCGAAUCCUCAAUCUCACCCUGAGUCUGGCACAGCUGCAGCAGAACAUCUUCCUGCACUCCGAGAUGGAAUGUGGGAAUGUGCCCCGCAGGAUAUCCGAUGGAAUGGCUGAGAUCAGCUGGUAUCUCCCUUCUGGGAAGAGUAACACGGAUAUUUUCCCAGAGGCUGCUGCAUUCAUUAACCUCCGAGGCGAUGCUGAAACUUUCCAGGGAAACGCUCGGUUUCUGGCAAAAGUAUCCACUGCUCUCUUUAUUUUCAUUGAUGUUAUCGGUGAGAAGGAACGAGAAUUCCUCACCUCUCUCCCACAGUCACCAGCAAAACUCUUUCUCAUAGUCAACACCCACAUCAAUCAGCAACACAUAACCCCUGAGCAGGUGGAGAAACUGUUCAAAGAUCUAAAGUUAGAACCUCAACAAUGCAUUCUUCGGACAAAUGUAAAUGAGGCUAAACUUGUGGAAAAGCUCCGCUCUCAGAUCAAACAAGUAAUUCUAAUGAGGGACAGGGACCAGACCUUGCUAAGCCUGGAGAAAAUGGCUGACAUCGCGAUGGAAAGUGGGAUUGAGGUCGAUGAACGUCAACCUGAAAUACAACGAGCCAAGGAAAUAACCCCUGAAGUGCAGAGAAAUCCUGACCCUGGACACCAGAGGGAAUCAGAGGAUCUAACGGAUCCCAAUCUCUCCAACAACUUAGAGGGAAUGGAGAAUGUUUUAUCAGCUGAAAAUAACCAAUGUGAUCAUUUUAGCAUCCCACAAGUAGUGAAGGAUCCGGGUUCAGAGGAUCAUUAUACCCACAAAUCUUCAUCAACAUCCACACAGGAUGUUUCCUGGGAUAAACAGGAGGACAGCAAAACAGAUCAAACAGAAACACUCCCUUGUCCCCUUCACCAAACGAUCCCAUCAGCCAAUCCAAUGGUGAUGAAUCCUGGACAGCCAUGUACUCAGUCCUCAGUAAAUGACAAUGAUGAGGAUGAGGAUGAAGAUUGUCUGGAUGAGAAAGGACAGAGAGUUGAUAAAUGUCAUCCUGGAAUACAAGAAGUAAAUGACCUGACCUCAAAAGAAACAGGAAAAGCUGACCCUGGAGACCAGGGUGAGCCAGAGCAUCCAUUUUAUCAUAACAUACGCAACAUUGGAAAAAGAGAAGAUGGAAAUAAAGAGUCUGAAAAUCCCAGCCCAAUGCAACUCGUGAAGGAUUUGGGAUUAUGGGGCCAUUAUCCUCACAAAUUGUCUCUUCAGACUGUACGGGAGAUUUCUCAGGAUAAACUGGAGGACAGAAAACCAACACGAGCAGAAGAUCUCCCUUGGAGAUUUCUCCAAAGGAUCCUCGCAGCCAAUUCACUGGCGAGGAAUCCCGAAUGGCCACCUGAUCUGCCCUCGGACGGUGAGGAUGAUGAUGAUGAAGAACUAAAUGAUACCCUGGAAGAGAGAGGGUCAAGGGUUUCUGGGAUGAAUCCUCUGGAUAUCAUUGUGGCCAUUUUCCUCUGUGCUGACCACUCUCUCCAGCAGGAACUGAUGCUGAAGAUGUCUCUGUGCCAGUUUGCAUUACCCUUUCUGAUGCCAGACACUCACAGUCACCCCAUGGACAAGGUGAGGGGACCCACAGAAGGGCCUGGUGCCACCCUUCUCCUCUGGGCCAUGAGGCCCAUUGUUAAAACAUGGUGCCCACAUUCUCCUACAGACAGCAGCCCCGUUGUGGAGGUGCCCAUCGUGACAGCAGCCAUGCCAACGGUGUCCUUCCUCAGACUGGGAAGGUGCACAGUGUCCAAAUCCCGAAUCCUCAAUCUCACCCUGAGUCAGGCACAGCUGCAGCAGAACAUCUUCCUGCACUCCGAGAUGGAAUGUGGGAAUGUGCCCCGCAGGAUAUCCGAUGGAAUGGCUGAGAUCAGCUGGUAUCUCCCUUCUGGGAAGAGUAACACAGAUAUUUUCCCAGAGGCUGCUGUUUUCAUUAACCUCCGAGGCGAUGCUGAAACUUUCCACAGAAACGCUCGGUUUCUGGCAAAAGUAUCCACUGCUCUCUUUAUUUUCAUUGAUGUUAUCGGUGAGAAGGAACGAGAAUUCCUCACCUCUCUCCCACAGUCACCAGCAAAACUUUUCCUCAUAUUCAACACCCACAUCAAUCAGCAACACAUAACCCGUGAGCAGGUGGAGAAACUGUUCAAAGAUCUAAAGUUAGAACCUCAACAACGCAUUCUUCGGACAAAUGUAAAUGAGGCUAAACUUGUGGAAAAGCUCCGUUCUCAGAUCAAACAAGUAAUUCUAAUGAGGGACAGGGACCAGACCUUGCUGAGCCUGGAGAAAAUGGCUGACAUUGCAAUGGAAAGUGGGAUUGCGGUCGGCGAACGUCAACCUGAAAUACAACGAGCCAAGGAACUGACCAAAAUACUGGACAGACUUGACUCAGGAGACAUUACUGGGUAUAAAAGGAGAGUGUUGCCCUUUCAUGGAGAGCCCUGGCAAGGGUUGUCUAAAGUUGAAAAAGAGAAAUCUCGGAUGAAACUCCGUCAUGACAAAACAACAGAAAAGUAUAACAAUGAACUGGACCAGGAGACGAACAGAAUCCGGGAAGCUCAGCUCAGACAGAGUCUGUCGGAAGAGAUGUGGCUGUUCAUUGAAUACCUCACCUGUCGUGGUGGGGUUGACAGAGCCAUUUCCCUACAGUGGCUGAAGCUGGAACUGGACAGUAAAUCACAGGAAGUUAUGGCAGGAUUGCGUAGAAUUUAUAAAGAACUGUGCAAAGACUCAAAGCAGAAGGUGAAGGAACUGAAGGAGUUGGAUCAGAAGAUGUCUGAUAGUUCCCUGGGACUCGAGCAUUUCAUGAGGGAACUUGGCCAGGUUUAUGAACUUUCAGUGACUCGACACAACGUCACCCGAAGGACACAGAUCCACCCAAAGGUGUCGCAGUUCCCAGGGGUUGCUGCUGAACUGUUGCUGGAAGGGUUCCCACUGGAACUCAUCGAUGGAGACGUUUCCAACGUUCCCAUUCCAUGGAUCACUGCCGUACUCACAGAGCUGGCCAACAAAGUGGGAAGAGCUUGCCGAGUGUUUGUGCUGACAGUGAUCGGAGUUCAGAGCACGGGCAAGUCCACACUCCUCAACACAAUGUUCUGUUUACGGUUUGCUGUGAGCAGCGGCCGAUGUACUCGAGGGGCCUACAUGCAGUUGAUCAAAGUCACAGGGAGCCUGGCCGAGGAGCUGGGCUGUGAGUUCAUCCUGGUCAUUGACACAGAGGGGCUGAGAGCCCCAGAACUCGCAACACUGACAGACAGCUACGAGCACGACAAUGAGCUGGCAACGUUCGUGGUUGGAUUAAGCAACUUAACGUUGGUAAACAUCGGGAUGGAAAAUCUGUCAGAGAUGAAAGAUAUUUUACAGAUUGUUGUCCAUUCCUUAAUCCGCAUGAGGGAGACAGGAAAAGGGCCAAAGUGCAUAUUUGUGCACCAGAACGUCGGCGAUGUGAGUGCGCACGAGCAGAAUCUGAGAGGCCGUCAGAAACUCCUGGAGCAGCUGGAUAAGAUGACAGAGGCUGCAGCAAAGCUGGAGAAGGUAGACCGAGUAACGUUCCGGGAUGUGAUGGACUAUGAUGCUGACAAGGACAACUGGUACAUCCCUGGUCUGUGGCAUGGUACACCCCCAAUGGCUGCAGUCAACACCGGCUACAGUGAACACGUCUCCCAACUGAAGAAGAACCUAAUUCAGUGUCUACUCCAACGGAGCAAAAGCCAAGGAGCUUUCACUAUCCCGGACUUGAUCAAAUGGAUGGCUGGGCUUUGGGAGCAGGUGAAACACGAAAAUUUCAUUUUCAGCUUCCAGAACAGUCUGGUCGCAGAGGCUUACAACCACCUCUCCGUGAAGUACAAGGACUGGGAGUGGGAACUCCGCAAAUUCACUCACUCCUGGGGAAAUGAGGCUGAAAACAGAAUCGGCAAUGCCAGAGGAGAUCUCACCGAACUGCUCCAUAAUCUGGAGAGGGAGAUGAGGACAGAGAUGAACAAAAGGGAGGGUGUCACUCUGGAUAAACUACAAGCUCUGUAUGAAAGUGGGGCUGAUAACGUGUAUCUGAUGGAGAAAUACAGAGAGGAAUUUAAGCACAGCAUCUCCAGUUUAUGCAGCCGACUUCAGUGCGAUUCAAUGCAGAGAUGUAGAGAUGCCGUGAGUAGACGGGUGGGACUGCAGGGAGUGGAUGAUAUUUGUAAUAAUUUUCAGAAUAAUAUUGGAGAACAGGUGAAGGAACUUUUACGGAAAUGUAAAGCAGCAAAUCGGGUGUUGGGUCAACAGGAAUUGCAAAAUGAAUUUGAAAUAAUGUGGAAAAGUACACUCUCUCAGCUGGAGUAUCAGCCCUGCAGAGAAAGAAACAUUGAACUGGAGAUUGAAAAUCUUCUCAGAGAGGCAAUAAGAGCUCAAGGGAGAGUGAUUAAUGAAAGGCUAAAAUGUAACAAUCUCUGUGAACUGGGGACCCAGUACUUUCAGAUUGAAGAGAAACACAUCAAUGUGUCACAUUGGAGAUGGGGUAGAAUCAUUCCAUCCAGAUUGAAAUCAGACCUCGAUCAAGCAGCAAAGAUUACAAAGCUCAUCGAGGAUGAAUGCAGACAUUGGAUCACUGACAUCACAAAAAAGGACAUGGAUUAUGACAACAAAUAUUGCAUUGAACUUUUGAACAUGAUAGAGGGGAAAGUUGACAAUAUUUCACAUCAAAACUUUUCAAUGUCUGAGGUUUUCAAGGCCGAGUUUAAACUUCACCUGUGUGGUUACGCUGUACCAAGGUUCCAGGAGAUGCACAGGAGGUUUAUCCACAAACAUGAUCCACAGAGAAGACUAAAAAAUAUGAAAAGUAAAUACUUUGAUCUCUUCAUGGAUAUUUACACAGAGCAGGAUGAGAACCUGAGACAAGCAGAACGAUUUGCAAGAUCUUGUUUCUUGCCAGCUCUCCGAGACGCCACCCUCAAGACUCUCAGCGUGAACAUCGUGGAUGAUAUGAAAAAACACGACCCUGAGCGACAGUACAGUCUCCGCAACAACUUCACUGUGGCCCUCCUGGUCCACCUGAAACAAACACAUCGAUUUGAUGAAUAUCUCCGGUACAUCAGAGAUUUUGAGAAUUUCGCCAAAGACUGGCUCCAUCAGCAAGUUAUUAAACACUGCAAGACAGAACGCGAUGGGGAGAGCACAUUUACCCGUCUGGCUAAAGAAAUCCUCACAGAGAUCACUGGGCAAGCUAAGGACAUUGUUCAGGAUGCAGUGAAGCAGAACCUUGCUGGAAAUGCUCAGAGCUUCCUAAACACGUUUGUUGAAAAGUUAAACACAAGAAUCUCGAUGCCCAAAGAUGAGAUGAAACUCGUUCUGCUUCAGAGUGGCAGUGAUGGCAAGAAAUGUGCAGAAGCCAUUCUGCCAUGUAUUGAAGAGGUGGAGCAGGAUCUCCUCCGUGAGGUAAAAGGCUGGGAUGUCAAAGCAAAGAUUGAAGAAUUAUCCAUUAAACCCAGGGAGGAGUUGUUCAAAGGGUUAUUCAAUUGUACAAUGAAAUGUCCUUUCUGUGGGGUUUUCUGUGACUCAGAGACCCCGGUACACUCACAACACUCCUGUAAACAGCACAGACCUGAAGGGCUCAACAACUGUCGAUGGAUAGACAGUAAAUGUCUUGUAACGGAUAUCUGCACAGCUUCAGUCGCAAGUGAUAGAAAAUUCCAAAAUAAAGACACAAAUUUGGAAUGGCAUCCCUACAAGGAUUAUCAAACAGUCAAUGAUUACUACAAAUCCUGGAUUAUCCAAAGGGAGAUCUCCGCACAGGCAGCAUCCUAUUGGAAGAAGGUUUUCUACACUUUCAAUCAGCAGUUUGCUGAAGAAUACGGUGCAAAUCCUGCAGAGAUCGAUGGAAGCUGGAACAUUGACUGGGAUGUGGUGAGGGAAGAAAUGAACAAGACGUAUAAUACAACCAUUCAGUCUUGGUAAUGUCCCUUUAAAUGGCAUUACUCAGUGAGAGACAGACAAAGGGAAACUGUCUGCCUCAGGAUAGGGCAAAGUAAAUCACAGACUGUUCAAAUCCAAAUCCAAUCACAAAUCAUAAAAAAAAUUAGCAAAGCAGAAAAAUUAGCAAAGCAGAAAAAUUAGCAAAGCAGAAUGUUUCAUUCCUACCUUCAUGGUCCUGCCCUCAUUGUCAAUAAAGUCCUCACCUAUUCACCUCAAGUCCUUGCAACAUCUCUUUCAAUCUUAUUAAUAUCUUUCCUGUGGGGAGAUGACCAGAACUGAACACAAUACUCCAAACUAGGCCUCUCCAGUAUUGUCCAGCUUCCAAAUCCCAACUCCUGUAAUCAGUGUCCUGGUUUAUGAAGGACAAUGCACCAAACACUCUCUUUAUGACCCAAUCUGCCUGUGAUGCCACUUUCAAUUAUGGCUCUCUAUUUCCCAUCCUUAUCCCGAUAUCCUUGAUCCCUCUCAUUCCCAGAAAUCUGCUGAUCUUAUUUUGAGCCCAGCCAGUCCCUGAGGCUCUCUCUACAGCUCCAGUGUGGAGAAUCCCUUUCCUUCAUCUCUACUCACUUUCCCAUUUCAGUAAACUUGGAAAUGUUACUUUUGGUCUCCUCGGGGAAAUAACUGACUGUGAAUAACUGGGACCUAAGCACUGAUCCCUGUCUGAAACACCACACAGAUCACAGACCAGUCAUGUGAGAAGGACACAUUCCUUCCUACCAUUUCCUUUCUCUACAUUAACCAAUGUUCAGUCCAUGCUGGAAAUCUCUCCCAGUUCCAAGUGCUCUCGUCUUCUCUCCCCAACUCCAUGUGAUCCAAACUUGUUCACCAACCUCCAGUGAGAGACCUCAUCAAUAACCUUCUGAAAAUCCAAAUACAUCACAUCUACUGGUUCCCCCGAACAACUUCACUCGAUACUUCCCCAAAGACCUCGGAAAGACCAGUCAAAUGUGACUUCCAUUUCAUUAAUCCAGGCUGACUCGACUCACUCAUAAUAUUUUCCAACGACCUUGAUAUCACAUCCCUCAUUGUAGAUUCCACCAUUUCUCCGAAUGCCAGUGACAGGCUAACAGUUUGGUAGCUCACUGUUUCCUCUCUCCCUCCACUCUGGAGGAGUUCAGAGAGUCUGUGGUCUGCUGACCUGACCCACUGAGUUCCAGCAGCUCGUUUUUCAUCCCAGAUUCCAGUCCCUGCAGACGUGUGUUCCCAGCAGACAUCACUGAGCAGCUUCAGCAGGCAGCUCAUUCCCUUCAGCACAUUGAAUAAAGCACUCUGCUCACACACUGUUUCUCCUCCCUCAGAUGCUGCCUGACCUGCUGAGCAUUUCCAGAUUUCCAGCCUCUGCAGUUCUUUCAUUGUCACUGACUCUGUCUGACCGUGUGAGAUUUUCUAAACACCUUGUCAUCGUUUCUUCAGUGUGUGUUCAGCAUUUUCCCAGUGACAGACAUCAAGACACUGAAUUUCCUGCUUUCUACCUCUGUCCUUUCUGAAAUGGGAUCCUUACAUUUGUAGUUUUCCAAUCAGCGGGGCCUAUUCCAGACUCUGGGAAAUCCUGAAACAUCCCAACUCUCUGCAACUCAACAUUGGAACAUGGAACAGUGUAUCACAGUACAGGCCUUUUCCCCGUGAGAUUGUGCCAACUCUUUAAACAACUCCAAGGUCAAUCUAACCCCUCCCUCCCACAUAGGCCUCCAUUGUCCUAUCACCCAUGUACCUGUCUAAGAGUCUAUUAAAUGCCCCCAACGUAUCUGCCUCUACCACCACCCCAGGAGUGUGUUCCACACAACCACCACUUUCUGUCUAAAAAUAACUUAUCUUUGACAUCUCUCCUGUACUUUCCUCCCAACACUUUAAAGUUAUGCCCCUCGUAUUAACCAUUUCACCCUGAGGAAAUGUCUCUGACAAAGAUGCUCAAUGUAGAUCUGAUGAAUAAAUCUGAAUAUCUGAGAGCUUUGGGAAGAAACGUAUAAAAAGGUACCGGACAAGAUCACCGACAGCACUGACUCCGGAGAGCAACCAGUGAAGAAGACGCUGAGUCAGGGACUCGGAGAGGAACUCACGGUGAACCCUGGCCAGGUUCAUCUGGGGUGGGGAACACCUGAACAGGGGCGGGGGGGUUUGGGAGUUGUGAGAGUAAACUAAAGAGAUAUGUAACUAAAUAGUUAACAUUUGAACUGUGUGAUUACUCCUUGAACAAAUCCUGAUCAAUAAAGACAACAGUUAUUGGUCAGUCAUCGUCUGGAAUGUUCUAUCAUGUGAUGUGUUUAACUGGGAAUAGGGUUCACCAGUGAAGUUCACUUUGUGAUCAGAAAGCCGUGGAACCGUCGAGCUAAAUGAAGUCCGCCACUGGGACCACCCGACCGGCUUGGCUGACGUCCCCAGGGCCAGUGCUGCUCCGGAAACAUGCGAGGAGCAAUAAAUACUCCCCAAUGGUCGAGAGGGUUCACCUACUUCAUGCGAACCCCCAGUAUGCCUACAUGGUCUUACCUGAUGGGCGGGAGGACACGGUCUCUGUCCGCGACCUGGCACCUACAGGAGCACCAGACCCCUACCCCGAACACUCCACGGUGACUAUGAACCCCGUACCCACCAAUAUAUAUACCCACGAGACACCGUGCAUGCCAAGCCCUACACAGACUCCUCACGACACUCCCGUACCGGGCACUACGCACACGCAUGAGGGGUUACUGAUGCCUAAUGGGCUGGCACCUCAAGUCAGGCUGGAGCCAGCACAACCACCAUCACCGGUGCAAUCACCACUGGCACUGGUGCAAUCACCAUCGGUGCUACGUAGAUCGCAGCGACAGACUCGACCACCUGAUAGACUUGACCUGUAAAUAUAUUUGUAAGAAACUUUGCCCCCUGGGACUCUCUUUACUCUCUUUUAAAACAAAGGGGGGGUGAAUGUGGUAAACUAUGUAUACCUGUCUGGACAUGCCCCUCUGCUGACUGCUCCUGUGGCUCUUCCCACAGACCCCUGUAUAAAGGUGAUUGGGCACUGCUGCUCCCUCAGUCUUUGAGAUGUCUGCUCCCUUUUGCUGCUAAUAAAAGCCUA